GAUGUUUGUAAAUGUUUUUAUCGUUAGACUUUUUUGCCACGCAGUUAACGGCAAUAAUCGAUAAUGAACUGAUAAAUAUAAAAUUCAAGGUUUGCUUCGACCCCGAAGCUACGUUAUAUUAUAUAAUAUUAAAAUACUGCACCUUUCUCACCACUCAAUUGCAUACGAAACUUAAGCAAAUCCAAUGGAUGCACCAUAGCAGAAGCUGCCAUACUGAAAACAUUGAAUUUAAAUAUUUGCGAAAAUUCGUACUACUUUAUCACAACGACCAUGAGAGUCUUUAAAUUCUCUUUUUAAAUUAUUACAAUAAUUAAUACUAUGAUGUCGUCUUUGGCCUACCCAGAAAGUCCAGCAAUAAUAAACUGCACAGGAGAAGUAAAGAUCUUGCGACCAAUGAGUUAAAAAGUUUAACUGGUUCAUUAAAAAAAUCAAUGGAAAACGUUUUUGAAAAAAAAUUGAGCUUGUCCGAAAUAAUAUUAGAUAAGAAUGAUGAAAAAGUGAGACCAAAUAGUUUAACAUCUUUAACAGAAAUUUUGAAAAAGUCAAGAAUAGACAAAAAUAAUUGUUUAGAAAAAUAGAAUGAUCCUAAGCAAGCUUUAAACCUAAUCAACUCCAUGAAAUGUUCAA